rnacentral:snoRNA from 1 species
ACCCUCCAGUUCCCUUUCCCAUCAGACCUAGACAUUGGUCUUGGUGGUUGCAAAGGAAAAAGAGCUUUAAUUCAAAAAAAA